GACGAACGCGGCGGCGUGCCUAAUACAUGCAAGUCGAACGAACCGCGACUAGGUGCUUGCACUUGGUCAAGGUGAGUGGCGAACGGGUGAGUAACACGUGGGUAACCUACCUCAUAGUGGGGGAUAACAGUCGGAAACGACUGCUAAUACCGCAUAGGACAUAGGAUCACAUGAUCCAGUGAGGAAAGGUGGCGCAAGCUAUCGCUAAGAGAUGGACCCGCGGUGCAUUAGCUAGUUGGUAGGGUAAAGGCCUACCAAGGCGAUGAUGCAUAGCCGACCUGAGAGGGUGAUCGGCCACAUUGGGACUGAGACACGGCCCAAACUCCUACGGGAGGCAGCAGUAGGGAAUCUUCCGCAAUGGACGCAAGUCUGACGGAGCAACGCCGCGUGAGUGAAGAAGGUCUUCGGAUCGUAAAGCUCUGUUGUUAGAGAAGAACAGCGCAUAGAGUAACUGUUAUGUGUGUGACG
rnacentral:rRNA from 1 species